rnacentral:lncRNA from 1 species
AGGAUAUAAGUUAUUUAUGUAUUUGGUUUGCAAUUUAAUUAGAAAUUACCAUACUUAAUUUACAUAUAAGUUAUGAGAUAAUCUAUAUAAUAUUUUAUGAAAAAUAAAAUAAAUUAAAUAAUAAGUAAACAAAUGACUUUAUAAUUAAUCUCAGCAUUACUAGGAAUAAUACAUAACUCUAAAGAGUUAUUUGGUGUGAGGUAUACUAGAUAAUAAUCCCAGAAAUAAAAUGAAGGACUGUUUUAUCCUCCAUACUAAUUGGAGGUAUAUUAGGUAGUCCUAAGAUUAUUUAUCUCACUAUUUAUAUCUUAUGAGUCGUUUGGUGUGAGAUAUAAAAUAUAAGCUUAAGUCAUCGAUAGCCUCUUAAAUUUGUCCGCAUAAUUCAUUUAGACACCUCAAUUGAGACGAGCAAAUGACAUAAAUGGUCCCUAAACUAUCCUAGUAGGUUUAAAAUAGUCCCUUAACUAUACAGUUGACGGAUAUGGUCCUUUAACUAUCCACCCUUUUGUCAAGUUUGAUUUCCAUCCACUUUUUAAAAAAACUGUUAGUUAACACCGUUAAGUCAAUCGAUUUAGGAGCAUAUCCAAUUGAUCAUAAGCAAAAUAACCACACGAAAAGCAUAAAGUUGUAAAUGCCCAUGGCCAUGUAUGUUCAACAAGUUGUGAAUGUUCAAACAUCUGAUUUUCAUUUACCCCAUUUGAAAUCAUCGAUUGAUUGACCAAAAUGAAGAGCACUGAAGCAGAUGUAGUGGAUGAAUGGAGGAGAGAUACACAAGUGUUGACAAAUAGGGGAUCGCGAUUUCGUAGCAAUUUGGGGAUGACCCAAUUGGCCGAUUGGUAGAAAAUGAAACCCAGAACGAUUGGGAACAGUUCCUUGCGCUUGUUAAUUAGUAUUUUCCACAAAACUGAGAAAACCCAAAUGAGCAGUGUGGCCAUGAAAAAUGCUCCAGUUCUAGUUUCUUGGUUAAACCCACUUCCCAUCGCCAUGGAUUCUAUCAAAUUUGAUGAUUUAUUUGUCUCAAUCUUUCGUUUUGGUUCUUCUUCUUCUUAAUUGUCUUAUCCCCACAGAAAAGCAAGAAACAGAGGCGUGGAGAGAUCAGUAUCAUUAACUCAUAUUCUUCUUUCCGUUGGGAUUUACACUUUGUUUGGAUGGUUGUAUAUCGACAGAUUGAGUUAACGGUGUUAACUAACAAUUGUUUAAAAAAAGUGGAUGGAAACCAAACUUGACAAAAGGGUAGAUAGUUAAAUGACCAUAUCAAUCAACUGUAUAGUUAAAGGACUAUUUUAGACCUACUAGGAUAGUUUAGGGACCAUUUAUGUCAUUUGCUCCAAUUGAGACUCUUACCUAUUAAACACUUUAAUAUUAACGAAUAUUUAUCUAUUGAACAUAAAAUGACAGCUAGUUUUAAAAAUAUUGUGCGUGUAAUUCACACACAUUAUCUUGACAAAAUCACGAAUAGAAUUACGACACAUGGGCCCAUAAUUUUAAUUUUGAAAAAUAAAAAAUAAUUUCCUGCCUUUAAUAAUAUAGAAAUAAUUAAAUUGAUAAAAAAAAAAAUCUCUCCCCCACCCCCACCUAACCUAUUGCCCUUUCUUCUUCAUCUUCUUCUCUGUCAUUCUGCCAUCGCCAGUCACCAUUGAUUCCUCCGGCGAUAACAAAAAAAAAAUGUCUAGCCCCACCUCAUCCCGAAUUCACCCACCAAAUCCUUUCCUCUUUCUUUUUCUCCGUUUUAUUCUAUUCCUCCGGCGGCUAUUAAGAUUUUUGUAAAAAUAAUCGACCUCAAUAAAUUAUUUCGAAAUCGACAUAUCAAAAAAAUUUAUAACAUUUUUAAUAAGUUUAAUGAAUGGUGAUGGUUGCUCGAUCGGAGUUAUUGAAAAUAAAGAUGCACAAAUAUUGGUCAACUUUUUAACUCCAAUAGUCGAUUUUUUUUUUCUUCUUCUUGCAAAUUCAACAGGCAAUUUGUUUACAGAAAAUGAAAAAAAAAUGAAUCAAAACAAAAGGCAGAGAAAUUUGAAGUUUUUUAAAAUGGUGGGUUGAAGAAGAAGAUGACUUGCACAUGGAUUUGGGGGUGAGUUUUUUUUUAAUCAUUUAAAAGAUUAAUGCUUAAUUAAAUUAUUUUUUUAUUUAUUUAGUCAAUGCAUACCAAGUGUCAAGAAAGUAGGUACAAAUUUAUUUUUAAAAAAUAUAAAAAAAUGCAUUCACGCGCUUAGCAGCAGUGAGAUACACUUAUUUUGCCACAUUAGCAUUUUGUGUUUAAUAGGUACUUGUCUUGAACAAUUUAGGUGUUCAAUAGGUACGAGCCCUAGUUGAGAUGUCUAAAUGAAUUAUGCAGACAACUUUAAGGAAUCGCCGAUGACUUAAGCCUAAAAUAUAAUAAUCCUAGGAUAAAAUGCAAAAUUAUUUUAUCUUAAUUCAUACGUUUUGUUGGAGGUAUUAGAUAGUCAUUGGACUAUUUAUCCCACCAUUCAUAUCAUAGUGAUGAUAAGUUAUCCCAUAUGAUUAACUUAUCCCUCGACAUAAUUAAUUCCGAAAUAACUUGUUCCCAACCAACACAACCCCUUAGUAAUGAAUAAGUUAUCACAUAUACAAUAUGAAAUAUCUUAUUUCAUUAAUCUCGAGAUAACUUGUUUUCGACCAAACCAUGUUACCCCAAAAACUUUAAAGCAACCAAUCAAUGGCCACAAGAGUCCCCACUUAUUUAAUUUCCAAUAAACGUCAGCUAAAUGAACUUGUUUUGUACUUCGUCUUGGACCAAAAAUUAAACAAAGUAGUGAAAAGAUGCAUUUGUACUAUCCACAUGACAUUUUAACAGCACCUUUAAAUGUGUAGGGUUAAUGUGCAUCAUCAUUAUAUAAAAUACUACUACUAUUUGACAAUUCAGAUUGUACAAAAGUACCAUUUUUUUUACUUAUAUAACAUAGUCAAAAUAGUUGUUAUUUUAGUGGUUUUUUUUUCUCUUUGAGAGAUCUGAAAUUCAAUGGCCAUGGAAGAGAGGGACUGACAGAAGAGAGUGAGCAUACACAUAUAAUUAUAUAAAUAUUUUUACUUAAUUUUCUUGAUAUAUAUUGUAUAUAUAAUUUUGCGAGUGCUCACUUCUCUUUCUGUCAAUCUCUCUAGGAAGGGUCAAAUGGUACAUGAGUUAGAUUUAGAUUGUAUUGUGAGAUUUUUUUGGUUUCAAUUGUGUUAAAAGGGAGAAAUGCUAUGAGUCAAACCCUAGUGGAAGAGGAUCGGAUUGGCCUAACCUAUGGUGUACCGCCAGGUAGACUUACCAGUUUUGUUUUUUAUUAGGGUGAAUUUUGGGAAUAGUGAGUGGAAAGGAAUUUAUUUGAUAUUAAUUAUCGAAUUCUCUCAGUGAAAAUUCGUCAAGGUCAAAAAGCACAACAUUGAAUAUUAUCUAUAUAGUUUUCUAGAGUAGAGAUAUAGUAGCAUACUCCCCCUAUACGAAGAAAGAUAGAGAAUAUUUAUUUCGAAUCAAAUUCAAAAUUUAUCUCGAUAUCAAUAUGAUAUAAAUCUCUCAAUUGAAGAUCUAUAGGUUAGUGAUUUCAUAAUCCAUGUGAUUAUAUAUAUAUAUAUAUAUAUAUAUAUAUAUUGAACUUUUUGCUCAGUUGAACUCGCAGAACUACAGAAAAAUGUGAAAAAGAUGGAUACAAUGAAUUUAGGUAGCAAAAAGGAAUUCUCUCUUUUAUAGCACCCUAGACAUAGACAUGACAUUGACCAGAAAAAAAUAAUUCACAUUGACUAUUGAACCAAUUUUUUUAAAUUUUUUUUUGGGAUUUCUGUAUUGAUAUUAUCUUUUACAAAGUUUAAAACUUUAAUAUUCUAGUAGUUAUUUUUUUUUGUUGGAAAAUAUCUAGCAGCAGCAGAUCAAGAAAAGUAAAGUUUCCAGUUUUGAGGUUUUGUGGAUUUGUAAGGUAACCCUGUUUACUGUUCUCAUUUUAACAGAAAAAAAAACUGCAAAUAUUCAUAUUUUUAUUUGUAUUUUGAGGAUUAAUUUGGUACUAUGAGUGGAGGGCGUAUCGAAAACAAUCUCUAUACUCCUAUACAAAGGUCAUAGGGUGAGAAUUAUACUGAGUAGUGAUGGAGUCAAGUAGGGAAAAGGGGUAUAUCCGAAUCUUCUUUGGCUGAAAAUUAUACUAUUUAUAUAUGUUAUCAAAAUUAUCUUUUAUAUGAAUAUAUAUAAUAGAUAUUGAAACCUUUUAACUUCUUUGCAUGUUUACUUUUUUAUAUUUUGAACUUUUUAGUGAAAAUUCUGGUGCCGCCACCGACACUAGUAUAUAGGAUGACAUGAAAUCUGUGUUGUAAGUUGAUUUGUUUAUUGAAAUGCUACGGAUUUGUUUAUUUUUUAUAUGUGGGAUCAUGUUAUAUUUUAUGUAGGUUUUGAUGAGCUGAUUUCUUUUCAAUAUUAUGAAGUAAUUAUAUAUGUUUUUUUGGUUCUUUUGCAGAGGGCAAGGAAGAAAAAUUAGUAAAGAAUAGAACUUUGAAUAUUGCUAUUAAUGGAAGUUGAAAAAGUUCCUCUUACAGGUUAGGAGUUUCUUCAAAUUGUGAGCUUUUAUAUUUGAUAAAUUUUUUAAAGUUGUUAUUUUUUCUCAAUAAAAAGACAGUUCCCUAUUAGGAGCUUGUGGUUUAGGUUUUAAUUGUAAUGGUUAUGUUGUGUUUUGGGCUAUAUAGCUUGGAAUUUCUAAAAAUGUUAUUGGACUCGUGUCGAAUCCCCUAAAAGUGAUGUCUGACACGCACUCGUUGACAUUUUUGAAGAGUUUGAGCAUAUAGGUUUUGGGUGUAUACAAAGCUGCUAACUUUAGCAUAUAAUCCUUAAUGUUAUCAGUGUGGCUACAAUAUAGUUUCAAGUUUGUGUCUUUCGAAAUUGGGUGAUUGAGUUUGAAGUGACAACUUUUGUUUCAAACAGAUCUAUUUGAGUAGUCAAGAUUUGGGGAUUUAGUUUUGAGUCUACUUUUGUUUUUGGUGGAAUUAGUGAUACCAUAGAGAUAUGUUACUGUAACUUGAAGCAGUAAAGAUGUUUAUCUCUACUAAUAAAUCGAGGGAUAUGUUACAUAGUGAGACUUCGCGAGGACCUAGUAGAAUUUUGCAUAGAAAAGAAAUUGUUGGAGUAGAUGUGGAGAAAGAUUCAGGAUUUAAGCUUUCUAGGUUCAACCUUUAAGAUUUUUAGCAUUGAACCCUAUGUAAUUUUUACUAUUUAUUGCAAUUUCAGUGAUUUGUUACACAUAAAUUUAUGUUCCGCAUUGGAAGUACUAUGCUCAGAUGAACCUGCUGCUAAAUAGAUGCAUUCGUAUAAUCUUCAUACUUCUGCCGAUUAUAAGUGAGUUCUACUUUCCUUCUUCUUGAUGCUUUCAAAUGAAAUGGAAUAUUGCAGUGAUGUGCUUGCUUUCAUUUGUAUAAUAUAGGUUUUGCCCAAAAAGCAAUAGUAGAGUUAUUGUCUACAUAAAUACGGUAGGUUUCGAUCUGUUGUGACAUGUAUGUAGCAUCUCCAACAAUUUCUGAACUCAAAUUGCACUAUGAAUGAGGCUAAUGUGACAUUAUUAUCUUCGAAAGUAGAAACAGUUGCAGAGGUUUCUUUUUUGAACACAAAGUAAAUGUCGCGUCUUCCUUAAGAAAUACAAAACCAGUAGUACUCAUUUGAUUCACCCCAUUCAGUGUUGCCAUUUGCCAACAAGUUCGAAAUUUUCAGAUGGAGAAAAUCAAUAGUCUAUAAUUAAAUUAAUCACCUUUGACAUAUAUAUCGAUGAGUUGAGUACUUUCUUCCAUCAAUCAUCCAAGUUCUUAUGUACUCUUAAGUAAGUGUAAUCCUGCAAAAGACUUAAAAGACCUAUAUAAUGGCUUUGAACAAUCAAACUAGUACACUACGAUACAUAAAGUCCAACUCUCCCUAAAGAUAUGGCGGAGGGAAAGUGGUAAAAAAGAGAAGGUUAGAAGGAAGAACACAUAUGUAGAGUUGAUAUUUCCUCUUGUUGCUUGAUUUGCUCCAAUGAACCGAGAAUGUAAAGUACUAAUUAAAUUUAUCAACUUCAUUUGUUAAACUUCCGUCUUAGCUUGGGACUCCAUCAAAAGACGAAAUCUUGCAAAGUCGUCAUAACUCAUUGUGGCCAUAGAAAAUAUAUGACUUACUUGAUCAAAGUCUUGAUAUAAAUGAGUUUGAAUUCUAUCUUCUUGAUGCAUCUUCGAAUGAAAUAGGACCUUGGCUCGAUUUGGUUACUUCAUUCAUGGAAUAAUAGCUUUCCUCCCGAAGAAAUAACAUAGUUCUCAUUUCUCGUGUCUAAGGAUGUUCAUGGUUCGGUCUGAUUCAGUUUCCAUAAAUAUGAACUCAAAUCAACCAUGUUAGUUUUUUAUUUGGUUUGGUUUUCACAUCUUUUUCGGUUUUGUCGUUUGUUUUUCACAUGCAUUUCUUAGUGAUUCCUUUGUCCAGAUAGAUCUAAUUGACUAAUCAAAAUUUGGGGACUUGGUUUUGAUUGAACAAAUAUAGCAUUAAGAACUUUAACUUUCAUUUUUGUCUUGGUGGAUUUAGAUUGUUUGUUUUGGUAAUUGAAGUCUGCUUUGGCUGUUUAAUGGAUGGUGUUAACAGUUGAUAGUGGUAAAUGGAGAAGGGGAACUAAGAACCCGAAAAAAUAUAUGAACCAACUAAAUCUUGCCCUCAUACUUUAAUGCCUUAGUAAAUAUGUCAGUGAAGUGAAGUGAUCAUAGUCUUGAUACAAGUGAAUUCUACUUCUUUCUUCUUGAUGCUUCCAGAUUACGUAGAAUAUUGUAUCGAUGCCAUACUCUUGUUGUGUCUUCCAUGAAAUAGUAGCCAGUGGUACUCUUGCGAUCAUAUACUGUGGCUUGACUUGCUAUUCUGCUUUAAAGUUUUCUUGUAUGUAACUUGUAUAAACUUCUUGAGAUGAAUGCCAUCAACAUAUUGCUUCGCUCCAAUGCUAAGAUAUUAGAAGAUAUGUGAUAACUGUUAUUUUCAUGCCAUCACUUUCUUGAAUUCACUAAAUGUUUUUUAAUAACGGUGAUGUCAGGGCCAGGUAGUUUGCGCACACCUCGUUCAUUUCAUCGGAUACCUGAUACCUCUACAACAUAUGUACCAGCCCAUCGGGUAACUUUGUCCGCCAAGGCUUAACAAAUGAGAACAAAACACCUUGCCUCCUCUGAGGUAUGAACUUGAGAUCUCGUAGUUCUCCUCUCACUUUAUUGACCACUAUUAAUAGGCACAUCCUUGGGUGAAAUUCAUUUGAACAUAUAUAUUUAAACUUUGAUAGUUGUGGUUGUCGUCUACAUGGUAUGUGACACCACACAAUGUUGACUAAUGUUGAGCCAGGAGAUAUAUAUUCCCUUGGAUCAUUAUAGCACUCGUUGAACAAUUGAGUAGAAAUGGAUAGGUUAUAAGAAGUAGAAAACCCAUAUCAAUCUAUCUCUAUAGGAGACAACAUGAGCAAAGGAUGGGAACGGUUAAAUCCUUUGGAAAAGAAUUCACCCCCUCAUCAAUUAUAUAUUAUGAAAUGAAGGAAAUACCUCCAUUUCCAUCUUCCUUAUCAAAAAGUGUUCUUAUGUGUAUAAAUGGUAAAAGUUGAAAUCCAUGGUCUUGAAGAUGCUUUAAUUCCUAUAAGGCUUCUUUCAGUUUUAAAACUUAUUCUUUAUGCUCUUUGGUUAUGUAGCACACAUGUUGUUGAGUAUAAACAUCGGCUUCGUCAAGUUAACAAAAGCCAUAUUACUAGAUAUUGUGUGUUUCUUUAAAGGGAAGAAGAAAGAAUCAGUGAUAAGAAUAUAAGAGAGUUUUAAUUUUAGUCCUGUUAUUGGCAUAAAGGUUCUCAUGGAGAAAUCUCUGAUUAUGGUUACACAAGGUCGGAUUUUAAUGCAUCAAUCGAUACAAGAAAUCGGUUGGUAUAUUAUUCGACAAGAUGCUUCGGAUGAUUCAAGAAGAUAUAGUAGGUUGUGGAUGCCUGGGAAUAUUUCUCAUGUACUUGGAGGAGAUUUGAUAAGUGUUUGCACAAACUAUGUUGCUCGGACUCUUUAAAAAUGGCGGUGGGUGCAUGUUGGAUCCUCCAAAAGUAGUGCAUUUUCGUAGGAUCCAAUACGUGUGCGGCAUCAACUUUGGAGAGUCCGAGCAACAUAGUGCACAAAUGAUGAUUUCUAAUUAGUUAUUAGUUCAAGCAGCAGCUGAUGUAUGAUGUAACUUUAUAACUUCUUUCUCCAAUUUUCCUUUUUGCCUGAUUGUUCUUUCUUAAUAAUCAGGGCACUGAAAAGAUCGAAGGCAUGUGACUGAACUUGGAUUCUGCACAAGAAGUGAAUGUCAGCAGUGCAGUUUCUCAGUAUCCAAAAUACAAAUGUUCGUCAGGGUCCUGAUUUUCUUCAUGGUGAGUUGAGUUGGAUGUCCAUCAAGAAGUCUGUCUGUUAGUUUUCGGGGGAGAAAAGCUUGUUGGUUUGAAGUUGAAAGAUAGCCGAAUUACACAACUUUGGCAAGGCUCCAACGUUUAUAUAUAGUCGGAGUACUAAUUAUCUGGCUGUUUUGCUUUCUUGCUGUUUGAUUUGUUUCAGUAUGACAGGUUCUAGUAAGGUUGAUUUGUUUCAUCAACCUAGCCAAUCACAGAAGCUAGUAAGGACCCCGGAUUUUUCAGGUACCAGUAAUCUUGAAAGUGUUAAGGUUUUGAUUCUAUCAGCCUGCUUAAAACUCGAAAAGUUCCUGAAAAAAUAGAAGAAGAAAUGAAUCGCUUUUCAAAAGUGUACUUGGAUGGAGCUUCUUUGGGAGAGGUACGCGCAUCACUUGAGAACCUUCCAGGGGUUAGCUUGAAUAUUUGAUAAAUCUUAGUUACUGCAAGCAUCUUGAGAAUCUCCCAAGCAGUAUUUUUAGAUUGAAGUGUCUUAAGAACACUUGCUCUAUUCGGGUGCUCAAGACUCGAAAAAAUAUCAGAUGAUGUGGGACUUUUAACGGGCUUAGAGGAGCUCCGCUGUGAUGGCACAGCCAUCCGAACACUUGUCUUUUCGUGGAUGUAAUGCUUUGGGUUUACAAGUAAACAGCUCAUUCUUCUCCUUUUGGCUUCCAGGAAAAGGUCAAAACUCCACGGGUCUAAUUUAUCGAGUCUUUGUUCAUUGACAAUGCUUGAUACUAGUCACUGCAAUAUCUCAGACAGAGGCUGGAGGCACCCUAUGUAAUCUUGUGUACUUAUCAUCUUUGUGGUAACAGCUUUACCAAUAUUCCAGCUGCAAGCAUCAGUGAUCUAACUGAGCUACUUGCGCCGAGUUCACCUUGGACGUGGUUGAUACAAUUAUGGAAUAACAUGCUCAAGGUAACUGCAGAAUGACAGGCAAAUUACAUUCCUUUAAUGGAGAUAUAUCUGUGGAUUCAGACUAACUGAGCUGUGUUUUAAAGUCAGCAGCAGAUCCACAAAGCAGGAAUUUGAGUUAGACGAUAGGAUUCAGUCUGGUUCUCUUGCCAGGAUAGGCCUUGGGACGGAGCUAGCAUGGAAAGUACGGGCCAGAAUUCAGUUACUUCGGAGCAAAUCCUGUAUAUAUUUGUUCAUUGAAUAUCUAUAUCUUUAAAUUUUGGAUUCACCUCUAAUCGUAAGUGAAUGUAUGAUCCAGAAGAAAACAUGUCAAGUUCUUCAAUGUGCAGAGAGAUUGUUGUUUGUCAAAUUACACCUCUUAUUCAACUGGUUUAUCUUGUUCAAGAGUUCUUGGUAAGUAACUUUCUAUAAUCUAUUGUUGUUGUAUUCAAAUGUACCUUGUCAUAUAAAUUCAUCCUCAAGUUUUAUUUUUUUGCUUGUUUCCUAUUUUCUUUUCAUUGAAUGGACUAUUUUUAUUAG